UUUACGCCAUGCGCAGGUGCCCAAAAUACAGCCCUAUAUAUCACAUUGCACUUUUCUACUUUUUUUGCACUUAGACUGGUUGGACGCAAACUGUAUUUUGUUGUCUUUCUACUUGUACUCUGAACAAUGACAAUAAAGUUGUCUAAUCUAAUCUAAUCUCACAAAGCAGUCAAAAUGAAAACAGAGCAUUCAUUACACACUACAUCAAAACACAGUCUUCAGGGCAGCUUAUAACUCUAUACUCCUAGAGAAAUGUAUUCUAUCAAUGUAAAUGUAAAGUGUAUUUUGUAUUACUAAAGAAAAGGAAAAAAGAUUUCAUAACUCAGUGGAUUUACCAUUUACUGUAAAUUUAGUACAAAAUAAGUAAACUACUAUUAAGGACACAUGGAUAGGACAUUAUAACACCCUCCAACUAUGUCCCAGCCCACUGCCAGUAGGACCAAUCCUGUGAGGGCCAGUCCUAUGAGUAUAUUCACACAUCUCUCAUCACUUCAUCAGUUCAAUCAACAAACUGCUCAAAGUCCUGUCUUACUUGACCGAGUAUCCAAUUGCCCAUCGGGAGACGUCUAGGUAUGGUACGGGGCUCGUAGUCAUGAGGUGAUAAUUCAGGAGACAACUCAACUGACACGGGAUAGGACAGGAUUCGUGUGAGCUUUCUCCACAGCAUCUUUAAGAAGACUGGGAUGGUGCAGGCUCAGAUUGGAGCUGGUGACUUCAACCCACAGUCUUCAGAACCACCAGAGUUACCAAGCAUAGCUGCUCCUAAUGACAUUUCCCAUUAUAGAGCAGCUGGUUCUGUGCAACCAAAGGUAUUCCGCAAGAUACAGCGUGGAAAUAGGAAGAGGCCACUAAAUGACUUCUGAUACAAAGGCUUCAAAUGGUUGUAUUCCAUACUUAGUGUUUUGCUACACCUUCCAUAAUUUUUUCGCUUCCGAAUUCCCCAUCGUCAGUCUUCAAAUCAGAAUCAGACUUUUCUAACUGGUAGCAAGACAGUGAUUCAAAGACCAUUCCAAAUCAGACCAUUGUAAAAAUAAUUGUUGGGGAAAAAAAUUGUGUAAAUAUGA